UACGAAGGGGGCUAGCGUUGCUCGGAAUCACUGGGCGUAAAGGGUGCGUAGGCGGGUCUUUUAAGUCAGGGGUGAAAUCCUGGAGCUCAACUCCAGAACUGCCUUUUGAUACUGAGGAUCUUGAGUUUCGGGAGAGGUGAGUGGAACUGCGAGUGUAGAGGUGAAAAUUCGUAGAUAUUCGCAAGAACACCAGUGGCGAAGGCGGCUCACUGGCCCGAUACUGACGCUGAGGCACGGAAAGCGUGGGGGAGCAAACA
rnacentral:rRNA from 1 species